GUGUGGACUUAUUUGGUCGAUUUUUAGGAUGAGGGUUGGCCCAUGGGUCUCCUCGAUGGGCCCCCUUGGCCCACCUAUAGGGACAUCUGGCAUGGAGCACUCGUUCUUCUUGGGCGCGCGGCCUGCUAACCAGUGGGUUGGACUUAUGGAUUGUGGAAUGGGUUAGGUGACUUAGAUUACCCACACGCGAAUGCUUUUCCUUCAUGCACGACCUCGAAUGUGUCAUCUUCAUCUUCUUGGAUUAAUCUGAAAGCCCACAACUCAUUGUCUUUGAU
rnacentral:lncRNA from 1 species